GCCACAUUACCUAAUCUUAAACAACUGUAAGCACAUUUGUCAACAUUUUCCAAAUAUUUAAUUUUACGGUAAAUUACAAACACCCCCUGAAGAAUGGUCAAAUUACGAAAAAAUCUCUCCUGUUUGGGUAAUUACAAUCAUCUCCUAAACUAUAAAUUUUCUUGCACGUCCACCUUGCAGUGUCAAAUUUAGUAGAAUCUUCUAGAUUAUAUGGACUAUUCUCAAUUUUGUACCCGUUUUAUCCCAUUUGAGCUCCACAUUUGAAGCAAGAUGAUCAUAAAAUGUAUUUUUUGGCUUGUAUAUAUCAUAUUGUGGUGCAUCAGAAACUGCAUUUUUGCACAAACGAGUAAAAACUAGAGAAUAUGCCACGGAAUCUAGAAGAUUAUGUUGCAUAUGACACCAUAAUGGUGGACGUGUAAGAAGAUUCAUAGUUGAGGGGUAGAUGGUAAUAAUUCAAACAUGAGGGUUUUUUUUCGUAAUUUGACCAUACCUCGGGGGUGUUUUAAUUUACCCUUAAUUUUAUUAACUAUUAAUUAGUAGAAAAUUAAAUGAUUUAUUUUGUUCAUAUAUAUAUACACCACAGGAAUCUGGCAAGCAACGAAUUCAGCGGCCCUGUACCGGAUUCUUUGUCGAAGAAAAUCGGCGUAAAUUUAGUGUAAACUCGAGUUUGGAAAAGUGUUCGUUUAUUGAUUUUCAACUAAAAAAUAAAUAAAAUAAAAAUGAUGGUCUUAUAUUAAUUUCCAGGGUAACAGGCAAUCCUGAUCUCUGCACAUCAGGGAACUCUUGCAAGACUUAUACUAGUUCUUCACUAACCGAAUAAUCGAGGAUUGGGCUAUUCUGCACUACGACGAGGAUGAAGAAAAAGAUAAGUUUCUUCGAUUUUUAUUAUCUGAAAUCUUAUGAUAAUGUGCACUUAUCUGAGUUUAAGUUACUAAUAUGUUAGGCUAUUUUCAUAGUAAGUGC
rnacentral:lncRNA from 1 species